rnacentral:miRNA from 1 species
UCACUCAAGGAGGUUGUGAUGG